rnacentral:pre_miRNA from 11 species
UGUGUGUGUGUGUGUGUGUGUGUGUGUGUGUGUGUGGCGGGGUGUCCACUUACACAGACAAGCUCCCGCCUCCACAAACAG